UAUGUAUUCCCUCCGUCCGGAAAUACUUGUCCUAUAAAUGAAUAAAAUGGAUGUAUCUAUAAGUAAAAUAAGUCUAGAUACAUCCAUUUCUAAGACAAGUAUUUCUAGACGGAGGGGGUAGUGA
rfam:Triticum aestivum genome assembly, contig: Triticum_aestivum_CS42_TGACv1_scaffold_031284_1BL